rnacentral:rRNA from 1 species
CCUACGGGAGGCAGCAGUGAGGAAUAUUGGUCAAUGGCCGGAAGGCUGAACCAGCCAUGCCGCGUGAAGGUCAGUGCCCUAUGGGCGUUAAACUUCUUUUGUGCGGGAGCAAUAAUGGUCACGUGUGGCCAGACGAGAGUACCGUACGAAUAAGCAUCGGCUAACUCCGUGCCAGCAGCCGCGGUAAUACGGGGGAUGCAAGCGUUAUCCGGAUUUAUUGGGUUUAAAGGGUGCGUAGGCUGGGAGGUAAGUCAGCGGUGAAAUGCCCCCGCUCAACGGGGUGAAGUGCCAUUGAUACUGCCUGGCUGGAAUGCGGAUGCGGUGGGAGGAAUGUGUGGUGUAGCGGUGAAAUGCAUAGAUAUCACACAGAACACCGAUUGCGAAGGCAUCUCACGAAUCCGCGAUUGACGCUGAUGCACGAAAGCGUGGGUAUCAAACAGGAUUAGAUACCCUGGUAGUC